rnacentral:rRNA from 1 species
UAGGGAAUCUUCCACAAUGGGCGAAAGCCUGAUGGAGCAACGCCGCGUGAGUGAUGAAGGCCUUCGGGUUGUAAAACUCUGUCAUUCGGGACGAACCGGAGUCUGAGGAAAUGCAGACUCUCUGACGGUACCGGAGGAGGAAGCCCCGGCUAACUACGUGCCAGCAGCCGCGGUAAUACGUAGGGGGCAAGCGUUGUCCGGAUUCACUGGGCGUAAAGCGCGCGCAGGCGGUGAUGUAAGUCUGAGGUGAAAACCCUAAGCUCAACUUCGGGACUGCCUUGGAUACUGCGUCACUUGAGGAGAGGAGAGGCAAGGGGAAUUCCACGUGUAGCGGUGAAAUGCGUAGAGAUGUGGAGGAACACCUGUGGCGAAGGCGCCUUGCUGGCCUAUUUCUGACGCUGAGGCGCGAAAGCGUGGGGAGCAAACAGG